rnacentral:misc_RNA from 1 species
UCAAUUAAAAAAAAAACAACUAUUUAAUUUUAUAUCCAAAGUAACUAAAAGUACAAGUCAGGAAAAAUAUUAGGGGAAAAGAAACAUGCUUUUCAUACUUUCCAGUGCUGUAAAAGUGAAACAAAGAAGCUUUUUCCUUCAAACUUACAAAAGCUAUAACAACUGAGGUUUUGUGCCUUCAAAAGUUAUUAAGGCUAACCCACCUUUUUUCUUCUCUUUAUGUUUUUCAAAAAGCUAAAGUUAAAAAUCUAAAAUUUCAUAAAUCUUUUUAUUCUUUUUUCCCAGCCCAAUUCUCACUGAUCAAAUAAAGCAUCAAUUAUCUUUAACAGCAAUAACAAUUACAAAUACGAGUAAAUAAAUACAUCAAUAAUCAAGAAUAAGAAAUGAUUAAUAUGGGGCCAUACUCACAUAUAAAUUUCAGUUCCCUGGGCAGGAUUUCUAAAAGUUGUGUACUCAUGGUUCCCUUUUUUCACUGAGUUCAAAACCAAUCUUCUCAACGUCCAAAGCUAGAUUUCUCUGCACAUACUCAAAAAAGAUAUGAAUAAGACCCACAUGUCGAGCUCCCAUCCUGAAAGCUGCCCUACACCGUAUUCAUACCCACAUGCAUGCAUGCAUGCCCACAAACAAGCAUAUAACAUUUUUGUUUUCCAAUAUCAAGCUCACAUCAUUUCAACUUGAUCACAAUCUGGAUGAACAUUCUCUAAGAUGUCAUAGCCGGUGCAUUAUCACCCCAGUUUAUUCAUACCCUUUGGUUGGAAACGGAGAGAGAUGAGAAAGAAAUGAAGAGAAAUUAGGGAAAUUAUAUUUUUAAAUUUUUUCCAUCAACACAAAAUAUUUCUCUCAGUUUAUAGUAAAAUGGAAAAAAAUGAAGAAAAUUAGAUACCAUUUACAUUAAAAUUACUUAUACACUCUUAAAAUUAUAUAAUAAUAAAAUUAUAAAUUUAUGUCAAUUAAAUAAUUUUAUUAGGAAAAAAAUUUUAUUUCUCUUAUAUUUAAGUAUAAAACAGAU